AGUGAACGCUGGCGGCAGGCCUAACACAUGCAAGUCGAGCGGCAGCGGGUCCUUCGGGAUGCCGGCGAGCGGCGGACGGGUGAGGAAUACAUCGGAAUCUGCCCUGUCGUGGGGGAUAACCUAGGGAAACUUAGGCUAAUACCGCAUACGACCUACGGGUGAAAGCGGGGGAUCGCAAGACCUCGCGCGACAGGAUGAGCCGAUGUCCGCUUAGCUAGUUGGCGGGGUAAAGGCCCACCAAGGCGACGAUCGGUAGCUGGUCUUAGAGGAUGAUCAGCCACACUGGGACUGAAACACGGCCCAGACUCCUACGGGAGGCAGCAGUGGGGAAUAGUGGACAAUGGGCGCAAGCCUGAUCCAGCCAUGCCGCGUGGGUGAAGAAGGCCUUCGGGUUGUAAAGCCCUUUUGUCCGGGAAGAAAUCGUCUGGGCUAAUACCCCGGGCGGAUGACGGUACCGGAAGAAUAAGCACCGGCUAACUUCGUG
rnacentral:rRNA from 1 species